CUGCGGAGGGAUCAUUACACAAUAAACAUAUGAAGGCUGCACCGCCAACAGGCGGCAAGGCUGGAGUAUUUUAUUACCCUUGUCUUUUGCGCACUUGUUGUUUCCUGGGCGGGUUCGCCCGCCUCCAGGACCACAUGAUAAACCUUUUUUAUGCAGUUGCAAUCAGCGUCAGUACAACAAAUGUAAAUCAUUUACAACUUUCAACAACGGAUCUCUUGGUUCUGGCAUCGAUGAAGAACGCAGCGAAAUGCGAUACGUAGUGUGAAUUGCAGAAUUCAGUGAAUCAUCGAAUCUUUGAACGCACAUUGCGCCCUUUGGUAUUCCAAAGGGCAUGCCUGUUCGAGCGUCAUUUGUACCCUCAAGCUUUGCUUGGUGUUGGGCGUUUUUUGUCUUUGGUUUUGUCCAAAGACUCGCCUUAAAACGAUUGGCAGCCGGCCUACUGGUUUCGCAGCGCAGCACAUUUUUGCGCUUGCAAUCAGCAAAAGAGGACGGCACUCCAUCAAGACUCUAUAUCACUUUUGACCUCGGAUCAGGUAGGGAUACCCGCUGAACUUAAGCAUAUC
rnacentral:rRNA from 1 species